UCUGAGGAACAAAUGAGGUCCUCCCUUCGGGACGCGCCGGGGCAGCUGCCUGAGGCUCGGCUCGGGCGAUCGCUCGCGGGGCAGCGCUGCGUUGUCCCGGCCGCCCGCGGAGGCUCCUGCCGCGGGGAGAGGCCGCCGGGUCCUCGGAGCCCCGCAGCAGUGGAGUGGAGCCCCGCCACCAAGGUGAAGAAACUGAGGCCCAGAGAGGUGCUAGCAGCAGUGGUGCUUUCCUAUCUUAUCAUCUUGAGUAGUUAUUCUUCUGAAGCUGACCCUUUAUAUAUCACAGCGGCUAACACUUGUUGUUAACG